rnacentral:misc_RNA from 1 species
UCUCCGUAGGUGAACCUGCGGAGGGAUCAUUACUGAGUGAGGGCUCACGCCCGACCUCCAACCCUUUGUGAACGCAACUAGUUGCUUCGGGGGGCGACCCUGCCGUUCGGCGCGGCGCCCCCGGAGGUCAUCAAACCCUGCGUAACUAAGUCGUCGGAGUUUAAACAAAUUAAACAAAACUUUCAACAACGGAUCUCUUGGUUCGGGCAUCGAUGAAGAACGCAGC